GCUCCCGUCGCCUAGCGGCCAGGGCACCUCUCUUACAAAGAGGCAAUGAUCGCAGGUUCGAGUCCUGCCGGGAGCA
rnacentral:tRNA from 1 species